rnacentral:rRNA from 2 species
GGGUUGUGAGGUUAAGCGACUAAGCGUACACGGUGGAUGCCCUGGCAGUCAGAGGCGAUGAAGGGCGUGCUAAUCUGC